rnacentral:rRNA from 1 species
UACGGAGGGGACUAGCGUUGUUCGGAAUUACUGGGCGUAAAGCGCACGUAGGCGGAUUUGUAAGUCAGGGGUGAAAUCCCGGGGCUCAACCUCGGAACUGCCUUUGAUACUGCAAAUCUCGAGUCCGGAAGAGGUGAGUGGAAUUCCUAGUGUAGAGGUGAAAUUCGUAGAUAUUAGGAAGAACACCAGUUGCGAAGGCGGCUCACUGGUCCGCUACUGACGCUGAGGUGCGAAAGCGUGGGGAUCAAACAGG